UACGUAGGCAGCAAGCGUUGUUCGGAAUUACUGGGCGUAAAGAGUGUGUAGGCGGUGCUCCAAGUCUGGUGUGAAAUCUCCCGGCUCAACUGGGAGGGUGCGCUAGAAACUGGAAUGCUAGAGGAUGGGAGAGGUAAGCGGAAUUCCUGGUGUACCGGUGAAAUGCGUAGAUAUCAGGAGGAACACCUGUGGUGUAGACAGCUUGCUGGACCAUUUCUGACGCUGAGACACGAAAGCGUGGGUAGCAAACAGG
rnacentral:rRNA from 1 species